rnacentral:lncRNA from 10 species
GGUCAAUUAGGAGUUAUGGCCUAUGGUGUGUAUAUGGCAGGGAAUUUUAAUUGUCAACAUUUUAGAAGCUCCAGCCUCACAGUCAUCACCAGAUAUACUAACACCAGCCAAUGACACGCCAAGUACUUCACUAAAUCUGACCCUCCCUGCCUUCAUGGAAAUGCACACUUAGAAUUACAGAACCCUCUGUGGAAGCGGUGGUCUGACACAAGCAUUUCUGGAUGACGCUGAACCUGCUUACAACUCCCUGCUGCUGUCAGGCAGAACAUUCUCCAAACCGCAUGAAUUUGGAAGUCUGGACACUUCAGGCAUCAUCAGGUUUAUGGUUUUGUCAUAACCCUGCUGAAAGUCCUUUACCAUCUCCAGGCCUCCAUUUAUUUUCUAUAAAAUAAGGAGUUUGGAAUGGCACUGUGUUGAUAUUCUCCAGUUUUGUGAAACAUCGUACUCAACAAUCGCGAGCAGGCAUUUUACAGACCUUGCUUUCCUAGACCUGCUCAAGUAGAACAUUCAGGAAUCUGGGCUGUAAAGGCAGGAUAUAAAUUCAAGUCCACAUGCUAUGGAGAAAUCAGAGGUUUCGAAAGUAUCUCCGUGACUGUUUUUGAAGUCACAGCUAAUAAUUCACCGUCUGACACUCCGGGGCUUGCCUGGAUCUAAAAAUAGUUGUUCCCCCGAGCUGGUCGGGGAACUGGCUGAGAAGGGAGGGAGCUGCGUGGAACACAUUCUGAACCAUCAGGAAACCCAAAGCAAAAUCGAAUCUUGCCACCUAAGAUUUGAUUAUUAAAAGAUGGAUUUGACAGCUGAUUCCCCAUUAAUUACAUUUGUAAAGAUAUUUGAAAGACAGGAAUGAAAUGACAGUGGCCCUGACACAGUCCUUGGGGUUUAAGACGGAGUCUGACAUUGUAUCUGUCUCCGGUUCUGCAGCAGCUUAGCGACAUCAGAGACAAUUGAAGCAAAGGGCCCACUUAUGGCUGACAGCUGACCCUGCAGCCCAGCUGGGAAGCCCCUGAGACGACCCGGGUCCAGCCAUCAGGGAAGGGAACCAGCGUGGCCCCAGGAGGGCUUUAGGCUGAGGCUUCUCCCAGGAUGUGGAGGCUCAGCACUUUGCACAAAUUGGAUUCAUGCCAAAGGAAACUGAAAGCCUGCCUUUCUUUUUUUCCCAGUGCACAUCUCAGAUUAUUUGGCCUUUGUCCGAGGACUGAAAACAGUUCUGUGUCCAAGUAUGUUUUUAAUACCUGAUAUUUAUUUCACAAAAAAGCUGAAAUUGCUUUGUGUGUCCAGGCUUGAAUGUUUAAGGCAUACUUGAUUAAUACAUGUGUGCUGAGCGCUUCCUGGGGCUCCUAGACACUGCCAAAGGUAGCUCAGUGGGGAAAUUCAAGGCAAUUUUCCCCUUAACUUUUGCUACUUCUGACCAUUUUCCACUUAUGUUAUUAUGCUUCUGUAUCCAUCUGUCUGCCUAUGUCUAGCUAUCCAUCAUCUAUCAAUCAAUCACUGUAUCUUGCAAUGGAGGAAUUAACUGUGAUGUUUUCAAGCGUGUCGCUUCUCUCAUAUUCCUAUUAACAUAUUGGAAACGCUCAGCUAAAUAGAAUAAAGUUUUUAGCCUAAACCUACAGUGAAUGUCUAAUGCUUUGGGCAAGAUAUUGAAGGGGUGGGGGAGAGAUAAUAUGAAUGCUUUCAUAGACACAGCUGGACUUCUUUCCCCCUAAACAUGAGUGAGAAUUCUUUCUAUGCUUCUAGUUGAGAUUGUAGAUAAAUAGAGAAAUCACAUUUGAACAUAGGAAAUGGCUUCUGAUAAAGAAGGCACAUUCCUGUCUCUCUCACACACACAUGCACGCAUGCACGCACACACGGACCUCCCACCCACCCAUCAGAAGCGUAUCAGAGGCCUCUGCCUCCCGCCAGGAUUCCCGGCUGCAGGACACAGCCCAGCAGGAGAAGCUUUUCCCUCCAUUCUUUCAAGGGUGAGUGGACACAUAGGCUGGUGUCGCGUGGUUUGCUUGGUCAAGUGAGGUCCAGUUCCUGGAGGUGGGUUUCUUUCAACAUCUGAGAACAGUCACAUGGCCCAUAGUGCAGAGCCUUCAGAGAGGAAAGGCACUGGUUCCAAGCAUUUCAGUUUAGUUUCAUUCAAAUGCAGAAACAUGGAAACACAGAUUAGACUCGUAUGAUCAAGUUGUACUCGAGCAAAGAACACAAUACCAAAUGUUUGAUUUCUUAAGAGUGUCCUGAAAGAGUCUCACAUACACUCAAAGUUAGUUACCAAGUUCUUUAUGAGAUCUUUUCUAAGAUUAUGAAUAUAAUAUUUGACUUGUGUAAAGCAUCAUGUCAUUGACUAAAGAAAAUAUGCAUAUAUAUAAUAUAUAUAUAUAUACAAAGUUGUAUAAUAUUUAAAAUAUUUCUGAGUGGUAUGGCUUGAAAAGAUAUUACAGUAACCGAUUAUCAUUGUAUGGGAAGAUGCUUUAUAAAACAAGAUUCUUCAAUAUAGGAUAUUCUCAGUGGCGUUAUUUCUUGACUUCUAUUUAUCAGUAAUAAACUUGGUAGAAAAUGUUAAAAUAAUGUCAGAGGUUAUUUAAUGGGAAAUAUGUAUGUUUCUUUCCAUUAUAAGAAACUAUAUAUCUUAUAAUAGGACAUUUUUCUCACCUCACCUAAAAAUAACACAGAAUGUCUUAUUUCAUAUAAAUAUUAGUUUUAAAAGGUUUUAGUCAUAUAUCUUGUAUCCUAUUUAAUUUGCGUUCUUUUUACACUUAGAAUGAACACAGACCAAUUCUAACAAAAACAUAAUAAACACAGAAGCGACACGUGGGCUAAGUUCAGGUAUGAGACAUUUGCGCCUUCUGUCCGCAGUGUUCUCAGGAACGUGUCACUGUGGAUGCAGACAUGGUUUUAAUGGGAAAGAGGUAGAAAUUUGCCCAGAAAAUUGUAUGUCAUAAGGCAUCAUCCUGGAGACAAGCCCUUGAACUUGGGCUCUACAUUAUAUAAAGACAAUCACUGAAGGUGAAGGAGAAAUUGCAGUAGAAGGAGGACAGGUGCUUGGAGAAGUUCCUGUUCUGCCCCAAGGGUGUUGGGGAGGCCAGGAGGAGCUCUGCUUCCUGCAGGGCUGUGUGUUAUCAGAGUAGCCCCUGGUGGCCUCAGAAUGAUCCCCUAGAGAGUGGAAAUCGGCAUGUACAGUUUGCACAGAGGCAAGCAUGCCAUAUCCCAAGUUUAAAUACACCAGUGUGCACCUUUGUAUGAUGAUUCUGACAUCAUGAAUGCAGCAGGUCUCAUCGUGAUGGGAUCUAUUUCAUAAAAAACAUUUUGAGGACUAGAGAGAACCAUUUCCUAUCACAGUCUUUUUUUUUUUUUAAGACAGAAUCUCGCUCUGUUACCCAGGCUGGAGUGAAGUGGCCCAAUCUCGGCUUACCACAACCUCUGCCUCCCAGGUUCAAGCGAUUCUCCUGCCUCAGCCUCCCAAGUAGCUGAGAUUACAGGUGUGUGCCACCAUGCCUAGCCAAUAUUUGUAUUUUUAGUACAGACAGGCUGGUCUCGAACUCCUGAGCUUCAGUGAUCUGCCUUCCUCGGCCUCCCAAAGUUCUGAGAUUUAUAGGUGUGAGCCACUGCGCCCGGCCCUCACAGUCAAUUUCUUAUGAGGAUUUUUCUUCUAAAUAUCCCAAAGAAGCCAUGUGGGGCACAGCCCUGGGGUGGUGGGCAAAUCAAGAGUCAAACUCUGAAUGUUUCCUAUCCCAGGGAGAGGGAGAAAAGAAUCUAAUCCAGAGAGAAAUUGGAAGGCUUAGUAUAAGAAGUCAUGCCAGAUUAUCAGCUCCUAUUUUGGGCCAGGCCUUUGAGGGGCAGCGUCCUGAGCCGUGAGGAGCAGGUGUCAGGCUAGGGCCUGGUGGAGACAUCAGGAAUCCUUACACAGUUCCAGGGAAGAGGGAAGAAAACCCACUGAGGACUGAGGAGGUUGGUCAUGCCAAGUGGAGGUGAGGAGUGGGGCUACAGGAGGCUGAUUUCCUGCUGUUCAGCAAGGAAGUCUUGGGUUGUUUGCCACUCACGUAUUUUACGUUUCUAACUAAGACACAGGACUUCAGGAAUAAGAUUGCCCUGGAAUGUCUCCAUCAGUGGCUCUCUCCUGGGGUUGACUUGGCUUCCCACAUCCCACCCGAGCAGGGGACAUGUGGCAAUGCCUGGAGGUAAGUUUGCUUGUCACAAGUGACAGAUAUGCACCUACCAUCUAGUGGGUGAGGGCCAGGGGUGCUGUUGAACACACUGUGUACAGGACGGUCUCCUACCACAAAGAACUGUUUCCGUCAGAAUGUCAACGUGGCUGAGGCUGGGAACACACACUCUAACUCUUUGGAAGGUGCUAUGGACUGAAUAUUUGUGUUCCUUCAAAAUUCAUGUCGAAAUCCUGACCUCUUAAGUAUUAGGAGAUGCCAUCUUUGGGAAGUGAUGAGGUCAUAAGGAUGGAGUCCUUAAGGAUGGGAUUAGGGCCCUUAGAAAAAAUGGCCAGAGAGAGCUCCCUCACCUCUUUCACCGGGUGAGGACCCAAGGAGAAGGCACCAUCAACGAGCCAGGAAACAGGCUCCCACCAGACACCGAUUCUGCCAGCAUCGUGAUCUUGGACUUUCAGCCUCCAGAACUGUGAGAAAUGAAUACUUGUUUAAGCCAUGUGUAUUGUUACAGC